CAAUGCUGACGAGUCCGAAACAGGACGAAAUAGCUGUCCAGUGC
rfam:Echinostoma caproni strain Egypt genome assembly, scaffold: ECPE_scaffold0013701